AAUGAACGCUGGCGGCGUGGUUAAGACAUGCAAGUCGAACGGUGUUUGCGGUGUAGCAAUACAUUGCAAACACAGUGGCGAACGGGUGCGUAACACGUGAACAAUCUACCUUAAAAUGGGGAAUAGCUCGCCGAAAGGCGGAUUAAUACCGCAUGUGGUCGGGACUCGCAUGAGUCUCGAACUAAAGUCAGGGACCGCAAGGCCUGACGUUUUAAGAGGAGUUCGCGGCCUAUCAGCUAGUUGGCGAGGUAACGGCUCACCAAGGCUAAGACGGGUAGCUGGUCUGAGGGGAUGAUCAGCCACACUGGAACUGAGACACGGUCCAGACACCUACGGGUGGUAGCAGUUUCGAAUCAUUCACAAUGGGCGAAAGCCUGAUGGUGCGACGCCGCGUGAGGGAUGAAGGUCUUCGGAUUGUAAACCUCUGUCACUGGGGAAGAAACGCUUCAUGUUAAUAGCAUGAAGCCUGACUUAACCCAGAGAGGAAGCAGUGGCUAACUCUGUGCCAGCCGCCGCUGUAAGAC
rnacentral:rRNA from 1 species